AUUAAUGUUAAUGAUCCUCCCAUUUUUAUUUAUAUUUUAAAAUUUGUAGGUCCGAUAUAAGAACCCCCUCCAUAUUCUUUCAGUUUGCAAGUAAAAGUGUGUAUCCCUUUUGCAACAUUUAGAGAAUGCAUUUAUCUGACGGACCCUUGGAGCCGAGAAUCUGGCAUCUGAAUUAGCCGCUCGCCUUUGUUGCAAAAAGAAAAGAGUCCGCCUCAAGUGCAGGGCAUUAUGUAUUCAUGGCUAAGAGAAGAAAAGCUGCGACUGUGACACAUGUGUGUGCCAAAUAGAUGGAGGACUGGCGGUUGGGGGUUCGGAAAGGACACACACGGGAGCAGCAGCAGAAGGAGCAGGAGGGGCCAAAGAAAUGCUGGGCAAGUGCACUUAGCAGCUUGUAGACGCCCCAGUUGACAUUGCCACACGCACACCAGCGUGUCUGCCACUUGGGGUUGUUUUCUUCGAGCCAUAAAAAAUUCGCACAUGAGCAAAGCAAACACACACAAGCACAUCGAAAGCGAGACAAUGGCGCUGGCAAAAGGAAAAAAGAAAAGAAGAGGAGGGGCUGAAAAUAGUGGGGUGGGAAUGGGAAUGGGGAGAGAACCAGGAUCGUAGUGGUUGCUUGCAACCCUGCUGCAAUUUUCAAAUGGCCCAAACGCUCAAGGCGCAACAACAGCAACGACAUGUCCAUGUCCUGGCCGCCUUUGUUACAGUUCCUGCUCGCAGGACCCCCUCGCCCAUUUCCCGUUUCCGAAGGACCCCCUUCUGUAGCCACGUCCCCACCUCGUGCAAUCACAAACAUGCUACAAAAGCCAGAAACAGGCUCAAGUUAAUGACUUGGCAACAUGUUGAGAACGCCACCAGAACACAACACGGAUGCACUUCGAAAAGGACAUGCACUGAAAACAUUACUGAUAUUAUCGGUAAAUGUCAGUAAAUGAUAGAACAUAAAAGUUUAUUAUAAUAUAUUGUAUUUAACAAAACAAAC
ensembl:ncRNA lncRNA:CR44539 long non-coding RNA:CR44539